UACGAAGGGGGCUAGCGUUGCUCGGAAUUACUGGGCGUAAAGGACGCGUAGGCGGAUAGUUUAGUCAGAGGUGAAAGCCCAGGGCUCAACCUUGGAACUGCCCUUGAUACUGGCUAUCUUGAGUACGGGAGAGGUGUGUGGAACUCCGAGUGUAGAGGUGAAAUUCGUAGAUAUUCGGAAGAACACCAGUGGCGAAGGCGACACACUGGCCCGUUACUGACGCUGAGGCGCGAAAGCGUGGGGAGCAAACAGG
rnacentral:rRNA from 1 species